rnacentral:lncRNA from 1 species
GGUGGCGGAGGUAGUGGAGGCUCCGGCAGGUCUCACCCUUCUUCCCUUCCACCACCGCCGCCGCCGCCGCCGCCGAUGUUCGCGGUUUCGCGCGUCGUGAUCCGCAGAUCUGGCAGGUAAUCUCCUUCUCUGAUGCAUCCCGAUCGCUGCUCUAUGAUCUUCGGAGCUCCGUUGCGAGAACCGCGAUCUGCGUUCUAGUAGAAGAGUAAACCGUGUUGUCGCAGUGACGAUCUCUCUGAUCUCCUCUCGGAAUCUCUUUCAGAACCUCCUGUGGCUAAUUUUUCAGCGGGGGGAGUUUCGUUUUUGAUCUCCCGCUCUCAGAUUUGGAUAUCAAUCGUCUCUGUGGCGCUCUCAGUUCGGCCUGGUUUGUUCUUCCCGAUUUUUCCCCGCAAGGAGAUUUGAUCGAGGACGGGACUCGCUGUCAGGUGUGAUCUUCAAAUCCUGUGCCUCUCAUGUCUUGCC